rnacentral:rRNA from 1 species
GUUGUUGCAGUUAAAAAGCUCGUAGUUGGAUUUCUGCGCCGCGCAGCUCGGUCCGCCGCAAUGCGGUGCGACUGUGGCUGGAGCGUCGCAUCCUUGUGGAGACCUUUGAUGCCAUUGAUUUGGUGUCUUAUGGGAACCGCAUCGUUUACUGUGAAAAAAUUAGAGUGUUCAAAGCAGGCAUACGCCGUGAAUACAUUAGCAUGGAAUAAUAAGAUAGGACUUUGGUUCUAUUUUGUUGGUCGGAGGCCAAGGUAAUGAUUAAUAGGGAUAGUUGGGGGUAUUCAUAUUUAAUUGUCAGAGGUGAAAUUCUUGGAUUUAUGAAAGAUGAACUUAUGCGAAAGCAUUUACCAAGGAUGUUUUCAUUAAUCAAGAACGAAAGUUAGGGGAUCGAAGAGGAUUAGAUACCCUCGUAGUCUUAACCAUAAACUAUGCCGACUCGGGAUUGGGGGGUGUACAUUCAAAGACCCCCUCAGCACCGUAUGAGAAAUCAAAGUCUUUGGGUUCCGGGGGGAGUAUGGUCGCAAGGCUGAAACUUAAAGGAAUUGACGGAAGGGCACCACCAGGAGUGGAGCCUGCGGCUUAAUUUUGACUCACACGGGGAAACUCACCAGGUCCGGACAUAGUAAGGAUUGACAGAUUGACAGCUCUUUCUUGAUUCUAUGGGUGGUGGUGCAUGGCCGUUC